rnacentral:rRNA from 1 species
UACAGGGGCGGCAAGCGUUGUUCGGAAUUACUGGGCGUAAAGGGCGCGUAGGCGGCCUUCUAAGUCGAACGUGAAAUCCCCGGGCUCAACCCGGGAACUGCGUCCGAUACUGGAAGGCUUGAAUCCGGGAGAGGGAUGCGGAAUUCCAGGUGUAGCGGUGAAAUGCGUAGAUAUCUGGAGGAACACCGGUGGCGAAGGCGGCAUCCUGGACCGGCAUUGACGCUGAGGCGCGAAAGCCAGGGGAGCAAACGGG